rnacentral:pre_miRNA from 1 species
UUGAGAGGUUGAAGCUGCCAGCAUGAUCUGGUAAUUAACCAAACACUCUAUAUUCUCAUGCCUAGUUCAUCACUCUAGCCAGUAAUUAAUUAGACAAAAUAACGAGGGAAGAUAAUUCCUUCAAUUGGUUUAUAGUUUGGAUUCAAGAUUAGUGGUAUGGUAUCAAUGGUGAAAAAGCAAUACCUGGCUUGGUUUUUCUUAUUCUAAAUUAAGUAGUUUCUGAGCCAAAAAAAAAGGGACUUGUUGGAAUCCUUUAAGAAUCCACAACGAGGGCACAAUUUGGUUAAAUAUAAGAUAUGGUUCCAUCAGGUCAUCUUGCAGCUUCAAUCACUCAA